GGCCGCGUGGCCUAAUGGUCAAGGCGUUGGUUUUCGGUCCUGUUCACCAAAGAUUGUGCGUUCGACUCGCAUCGUGGUCG
rnacentral:tRNA from 1 species